AAGAGACCGCUGGCAUCGCUGACAGGGAAAGAUGGCAGCACAGCAGUGCUUUAGGGGCCCCAGUCUCCUCUUCAAUGCAUUGGAUGCCAUACUCAGUGCCUACUAUGCGCCAAAUAUUGAGAGAACAUGCCGAGUGUGCCCACUGGGUGCCACACUUGAGAAUUCAGAACUGGGCAGGAUGAAUAUUUACUGAAACAGUUACCCUUCAUCUGGUCCACCCCUUCUCCCAGGAGACUCUGAGUCAGCCUUUAUCUAAGCAGUGUCGAGUCCAACAGGAAGAAAGAUACUCUGGGCAAAGUCUUUUCUGAGGCUCACCCUCCUUGUUCAGCAGUCAGGCAAGUAACUUUGCCUGAGUUGUGAAGUUCAUCAGGACUUGCUUGAACUUGCCCAAAGCAUACCUGUUACUUAGAAUAUGGUCAAGAAUCCAGUGAACCAGGGUCUACGACAGCUCUUUGGAAAAUGUUCUCUCCUUACUACUGUCCUGAGAAGGGAAAAUCCAAACAAGAUUCUUCAGCCAAGGCCGAGAACACAGUGGACAGUCGGUAGCCUACAAGGUCUGCCAUGAAGCAGAGUGCUGCCUCCCUCCCGUCCCCGUCUUCCCAAGGCCCGUGCCUCCUCCCAGUGACUCCAUCUCCGCUGAUCUCAUCCAGGCAGCCACAAGCCACUUCUCUGCUCUUGACUUUUACUGUCCUGUGUGUUUAUACUCUACUUAAUUGGGAGCCAGUAGCACAGCAUCUUUGGGUUAUAAAUGAUCUUUGAAGUCAAAUGGACAAGGCAUUAAAAAAUCCUGGGCAAGUUACUAGACAUCUGAACCGAUUUUAAUGUUAAAUCCUCUACAUUAAAAAAGCU